rnacentral:rRNA from 1 species
GAUGAACGCUGGCGGCGUGCCUAAUACAUGCAAGUCGAGCGAACAGACGAGGAGCUUGCUCCUCUGACGUUAGCGGCGGACGGGUGAGUAACACGUGGAUAACCUACCUAUAAGACUGGGAUAACUUCGGGAAACCGGAUCUAAUACCGGAUAAUAUAUUGAACCGCAUUGUUCAAUAGUGAAAGACGGUUUUGCUGUCACUUCUAGAUGGAUCCGCGCCGCAUUAGCUAGUUGGUAAGGUAACGGCUUACCAAGGCGACGAUGCGUAGACGACCUGAGAGGGUGAUCGGCCACACUGGAACUGAGACACGGUCCAGACGCCUGCGGGAGGCAGCAGUAGGGAAUCUUCCGCAAUGGGCGAAAGCCUGACGGAGCAACGCCGCGUGAGUGAUGAAGGUCUUCGGAUCGUAAAACUCUGUUAUUAGGGAAGAACAAAUGUGUAAGUAACUAUGCACGUCGUGACGGUACCUAAUCAGAAAGCCACGGCUAACUACGUG